GACGAACGCUGGCGGCGUGCCUAAUACAUGCAAGUUGAGCGAUGAAGAUUGGUGCUUGCACCAAUUUGAAGAGCAGCGAACGGGUGAGUAACGCGUGGGGAAUCUGCCUUUGAGCGGGGGACAACAUUUGGAAACGAAUGCUAAUACCGCAUAACAACUUUAAACAUAAGUUUUAUGUUUGAAAGAUGCAAUUGCAUCACUCAAAGAUGAUCCCGCGUUGUAUUAGCUAGUUGGUGAGGUAAAGGCUCACCAAGGCGAUGAUACAUAGCCGACCUGAGAGGGUGAUCGGCCACAUUGGGACUGAGACACGGCCCAAACUCCUACGGGAGGCAGCAGUAGGGAAUCUUCGGCAAUGGACGAAAGUCUGACCGAGCAACGCCGCGUGAGUGAAGAAGGUUUUCGGAUCGUAAAACUCUGUUGGUAGAGAAGAACGUUGGUGAGAGUGGAAAGCUCAUCAAGUGACGGUAACUACCCAGAAAGGGACGGCUAACUACGUG
rnacentral:rRNA from 1 species